UACGUAGGGGGCAAGCGUUGUCCGGAAUCAUUGGGCGUAAAGAGCGUGUAGGCGGCUCGGUAAGUCCGCUGUGAAAGUCCAGGGCUCAACCCUGGAAUGCCGGUGGAAACUGUCGAGCUAGAAUCCGGAAGAGGCGAGUGGAAUUCCUGGUGUAGCGGUGAAAAUGCGCAGAUAUCAGGAGGAACACCAAUGGCGAAGGCAGCUCGCUGGGACGGUAUUGACGCUGAGACGCGAAAGCGUGGGGAGCAAACAGG
rnacentral:rRNA from 1 species